rnacentral:rRNA from 1 species
CAGCAGCGCGGUAAUACGUAGGUGGCAAGCGUUGUCCGGAAUUAUUGGGCGUAAAGGGCUCGCAGGCGGUUUCUUAAGUCUGAUGUGAAAGCCCCCGGCUCAACCGGGGAGGGUCAUUGGAAACUGGGAAACUUGAGUGCAGAAGAGGAGAGUGGAAUUCCACGUGUAGCGGUGAAAUGCGUAGAGAUGUGGAGGAACACCAGUGGCGAAGGCGACUCUCUGGUCCGUAACUGACGCUGAGGAGCGAAAGCGUGGGGAGCGAACAGGAUUAGAUACCCGCGUAGUCCCUGUCUCUUAUACA